UCAGGCCUAACACAUGCAAGUCUAACGGUAACGACACUAGCUUGCUAGUGGGCGACGAGUGGCGGACGGGUGAGUAACGCGUAGGAAUCUACCUAGUAGUGGGGGAUAGCCAAGGGAAACUUUGGGUAAUACCGCAUACGAUCUAAGGAUGAAAGGGGGCCUCUCUUUGAAGCUCUCGCUAUUAGAUGAGCCUGCGUAAGAUUAGCUUGUUGGUGAGGUAAUGGCUCACCAAGGCGACGAUCUUUAGCUGGUCUGAGAGGAUGAUCAGUCACACUGGAACUGAGACACGGUCCAGACUCCUACGGGAGGCAGCAGUCGGGAAUAUUGGACAAUGGGGGAAACCCUGAUCCAGCCAUGCCGCGUGUGUGAAGAAGGCCCUAGGGUUGUAAAGCACUUUUAGUAGUGAGGAAGGCUCAGCAGUUAAUACCUGCUGGGAUUGACGUUAGCUACAGAAAAAGCACCGGCUAAUUUCGUGCCAGCAGCCGCGGUAAUACGAAAGGUGCAAGCGUUAAUCGGAAUUACUGGGCGUAAAGCGCGCGUAGGCGGCUUGGUAAGUUGGAUGUGAAAGCCCCGGGCUCAACCUGGGAACUGCAUCCAAAACUGCCUAGCUAGAGUAUGGUAGAGGAUGGCGGAAUUUCCUGUGUAGCGGUGAAAUGCGUAGAUAUAGGAAGGAACAUCAGUGGCGAAGGCGGCCAUCUGG
rnacentral:rRNA from 1 species